UACGAAGGACCCGAGCGUUAUCCGGAUUUAUUGGGUUUAAAGGGUGCGUAGGCGUCCUGGAAAGUUACGGUUGAAAUCUCCUUGCUUAACAAGGAAACUGGCCGUAAAACUAUCAGGAUUGAGUACAUUUGAAGCGGGCGGAAUGUGUCAUGUAGCGGUGAAAUGCUUAGAUAUGACACAGAACACCAAUUGCGAAGGCAGCUCGCUAAACUGUAACUGACGCUGAGGCACGAAAGCGUGGGGAUCAAACAGG
rnacentral:rRNA from 2 species